rnacentral:rRNA from 1 species
GUAAGGAAUAUUGGACAAUGGGGGCAACCCUGAUCCAGCCAUGCCGCGUGAAGGAUGAAGGCGCUCUGCGUCGUAAACUUCUUUUAUCCGGGAAAAAUUGUUGGGUUUCUACCUGACUUGAUUGUACCGGAGGAAUAAGGACCGGCUAACUUCGUGCCAGCAGCCGCGGUAAUACGAAGGGUCCAAGCGUUAUCCGGAUUUAUUGGGUUUAAAGGGUGCGUAGGCGGGUUGUUAAGUCAGUGGUGAAAUCUUGCAGCUUAACUGUAAAAUUGCCAUUGAUACUGACGAUCUUGAGUACACUUGAAGUGGGCGGAAUAUGUCAUGUAGAGGUGAAAUUCUUAGAGAUGACAUAGAACACCGAUUGCGAAGGCAGCUCACUAAAUUGUAACUGACGCUGAGGCACGAAAGCGUGGGGAUCAAACAGGAUUAGAAACCCUUGUAGUCC